rnacentral:tRNA from 1 species
GGGCGGAUGUAGCCAAGUGGAUUAAGGCGGUGGAUUGUGAAUCCACCAUGCG